GCGAACGCCGCCGCCGUGCGGUUUGUGCAGGACAUCGCCGCCGGCGACUCCCGGCGGCGGCUGCGCGGUUCCGGCCAGCGGUGAAGUGGGCCCGGAUCCCCACAACCACCCACCCACCCAUGCAUGCGUCGCUCAACUUGGUUUCAGUAAUCACACUGAGGCCUGAGCCCAUUUACAGUGCGGAUUCAGCUUCAGGUUUUGUUCAGAAAUUCUCCGCGGAUUUUUCUUCAGAAUCUCCACGAGUUUUUCAGCACAUACUGUAUACAUCAAUCAUUUUUCGAUCAAAAUUUCCUGGAAGCUCGUUCUGUCAGUCAUGCGGGGUCUGAUAUACCUGAAUCCGAUCUGAUGGACAUGUUCAGAUUUCAGAACUUUCACGUGCUGAUUGGAGUCACUGCUUUGAACUAUUUAUUCCUUAAGAUGUUUCAGUAGUUUUAACUGGGUGAUUGUUUUGUAACAAGAAUAUACCAGACGGUAGGAGAAGCUGUAGGAUAUGAAGCUAUUAUAUAUACCACCUCUAUCCCAUAAUAAAUACAUUUAUGAAAUUCAUAUUUGUUCCAUAAAUAGUACAUUUGUGAAGUACUAUUUGUUCCAUUGAUCGCCUCGUAUUCAAA
rnacentral:lncRNA from 1 species